rnacentral:piRNA from 1 species
UGCCUUUAUGAUUGUCACAGUUCCCGU